rnacentral:rRNA from 1 species
AGCGAACGCUGGCGGCAGGCUUAACACAUGCAAGUCGAGCGGGCAUAGCAAUAUGUCAGCGGCAGACGGGUGAGUAACGCGUGAGAACGUACCUUCUGGUUCGGAACAACACAGGGAAACUUGUGCUAAUACCGGAUAAGCCCUUACGGGGAAAGAUUUAUCGCCGAAAGAUCGGCCCGCGUCUGAUUAGCUAGUUGGUGAGGUAAUGGCUCACCAAGGCGACGAUCAGUAGCUGGUCUGAGAGGAUGAUCACCCACAUUGGGAGUGAGACACGGCCCAAACUCUUACGGGAGGCAGCAGUGUGGAAUAUUGGACAAUGGGCGCAAGCCUGAUCCAGCCAUGCUGCUUGAGUUAUGAAGGCCCUAGGGUUGUAAAGCUGUUUUGUGCGGGAAGAUAAUGACGGUACCGCAAGAAUAAGCCCCGGCUAACUUCGUGCCAGCAGCCGCGGUAAUACGAAGGGGGCUAGCGUUGUUCGGAAUCACUGGGCGUAAAGGGUGCGUAGGCGGGUCUUUAAGUCAGGGGUGAAAUCCUGGAGCUCAACUCCAGAACUGCCUUUGAUACUGAAGAUCUUGAGUUCGGGAGAGGUGAGUGGAACUGCGAGUGUAGAGGUGAAAUUCGUAGAUAUUCGCAAGAACACCAGUGGCGAAGGCGGCUCACUGGCCCGUUACUGACGCUGAGGCUCGAAAGCGUGGGGAGCAAACAGG